UUAAGUUCAGCGGGUAUCCCUACCUGAUCCGAGGUCAACCUUGUAAAAAAUGGGUUCAGACUAGCCCCCGGGGACCACGACCGGUACGUGCUUGGAAAGCUCGUUGUACCAGGAGUCCACCGGACACCGUCAUUGUCUUUCGGAGCAGCGGGGUCGAAACCCCGCCAGGCCUCCAACACCAAGCCAGGGCUUGAGGGUUG
rnacentral:misc_RNA from 1 species